UACAGAGGUCUCAAGCGUUGUCCGGAUUUAUUGGGCGUAAAGAGCUCGUAGGCGGUUUGUUGCGUCGGCUGUGAAAUCCCGAGGCUCAACCUCGGGUCUGCAGUCGAUACGAGCAAACUAGAGUGUUGCAGGGGAGACUGGAAUUCCUGGUGUAGCGGUGAAAUGCGCAGAUAUCAGGAGGAACACCGGUGGCGAAGGCGGGUCUCUGGGCAACAACUGACGCUGAGGAGCGAAAGCGUGGGGAGCGAACAGG
rnacentral:rRNA from 1 species